CAAUAGCGUAUAUUAAAGUUGUUGCAGUUAAAAAGCUCGUAGUUGGGUUUCUGUCGGUGAGCGAAGGUCCGCCCUAGUGGUUGGUACACUUCGCGCCGCCGACAUCUUCCUGGGGAAUGUGUCUGCACUUCACUGUGUGGCGCGGGAACCAGGACGUUUACUUUGAGGAAAUUACAGUGCUUCAAGCAGGCUCACGCUCUCUGAAUACGUUAGCAUGGAAUAAUAGCAUCGGACCUCGAUCCAAAGCUGUUGGUUCUUGGAUCUGGGUAAAGGUGAAUAGGGAUUGUUGGGGGCAUUCGUAUUUAACUGUCAGAGGUGAAAUUCUUGGAUUUAUGAAAGACUAACUUCUGCGAAAGCAUUUGCCAAGGAUGUUUUCAUUAAUCAAGAACGAAAGUUAGGGAUCGAAGACGAUCAGAUACCAU
rnacentral:rRNA from 1 species